UGAAAGACUAGUGAUUUUGUUGUU
rnacentral:piRNA from 3 species